GCCCAUGUAGCUCAGUUGGCAGAGCGCAAACUUGGUAAGUUUGAGGUCUUCGGUUCGAUCCCGGACGUGGGCUCCA
rnacentral:tRNA from 1 species